GAGGCUUGAUUUGCCCUGGUCAUAGGAUCGCUUAGGGAAACUGUGAAAUUUAUGGGUAACUGGCAUUGCUUUGUUUCUCUACAGAGUGAACUUUGGCUCUAACUUUCAAUUACUUUCUCACCAAAAUAGUUUCUAUCUGGCAAAACUAUCCAGAGUGGCAAGAUGCCUGGAUGUUCUUGAAAUCUUCUCGCCUAGCAUCUUGGCCCAACUUGCUGGCAUCCUGACUGCCUCAGAGAG
rnacentral:lncRNA from 12 species